AGGAUGAACGCUGGCGGCGUGCCUAAUACAUGCAAGUCGAGCGGUAACACUUCGGGUGACGAGCGGCGGACGGCAGAGUAACGCGUAGGAACGUACCCCAAACUGAGGGAUAAGCACCGGAAACGGUGUCUAAUACCGCAUAUUAUUUUCGAAUCAAAGCCUUCGGGCGGUUUGGGAGCGGCCUGCGUAUGAUUAGCUUGUUGGUGAGGUAACGGCCCACCAAGGCUUUGAUCGGUAUCC
rnacentral:rRNA from 1 species